UGAAUUUAUGAUGAUUAUUAUUACCGCCCCAGUCUGAUUUCGAUGACUGAUUGGUGUUGCUGAUUUG